rnacentral:misc_RNA from 1 species
GAAAAUCAGGUCAGUUUAAGGAUUAUCAUUUCAUUUUUGAUUAAUAGCUUACUUCUUUAAAGUUUAACAUAGAAAACAUUGUGCUUUAGUUGGAGCACAAUAUUUCCCUCCCAUAUCUUUCUAAGCAUUCAUGGAGCUGCUUUAAACAUUACUUACAAAGGGAAAGAAAAGGAGAAUGGUAUAUACAAAUCGAAAACAUACAAGGUUUUGAGAAAUUGUGAAAUGUGAAUAUAUCAGGUACUGGAAGCCCUUAA